UGGACAUUCUUGGGUUUCUCUGCAGCUAAAGAAUGGACUACAACAAUUAAUUUAUUUAUUUUUGUGUGUAAAUUGAUGCAAACCUAGGAUGACAAUGUUAUACAUGUAUACACGGAAAAACAUAAAAUAAAAAAUAUUUGGAAGAUUUAUGACGUUGAUGACCGUUGAAACGCAGGUCAUCACGUCAGGCCAGCUGUGAGGGGAAGUCGAAGCAGCUCGAGAAAGUUGGCGCUUUUAUCAGAUCGUUUGUUUGGAGUCUCUGUUUGUUCCAGCCAUUGUGUUCCUUCAUGCUCCUCCAGAGACUACUAUCCGGAUUGUCCGUGCCAGUGUUGUGACUCUUGCAUCUUUCACCAUGUGACGUUGUCCGGGGCCCAGGGAGUUCUUACAAACAGAUUGAUGGCAACAAUGAACAUGGAUGGUUCAGGGGUGAAGAAGGCCUUUAAAAAACACGGCUAUGUUGUGUUAUAAUAGGUGGGAAUUGCAUCAGAGGGAGAAGACUUCACAGUGCCUCCAUAUACAUGGAUGUCAGCUGACGUCAAUCACUUGUCUUCCGCCAUUUUGAGGACCUGAAGUGGUCGCAAAAGAACUAGAAGCUAUGCCUUCAAUAUGCUGUGAGCAUCAAAAUCGCUAUUUUAACAACACUAAGAAGGCUCAACACAACAUGAUAUUUUGCUCGAAGUAUCGCCUAUGUCUC